UUAUUUCGCGCAGCUUAGGUGGGAGACGUUGAACCUUUUCUUCCGGGAAUGGGGGAGUCAUCAGUGAGAUACCACUCUUGGUGAGCUAGAGCGCUCAUUUUUAACCGUUAUCCGGUAAAAAAACAGUUUCAGGCGGGCAGUUUGACUGGGGCAGUCACCUCCCAAAAGGUAAUGGAGGUGUACAAAGGUUCUCUCAGGCUGGACGGAAAUCAGCCAUAGAGUGUAAAAGCAUAAGAGAGCUUGACUGCGAGACGGACAUGUCAAGCAGAGACGAAAGUCGGUUUUAGUGAUCCGACGGUGCUGAGUGGAAAGGCCGUCGCUCAACGGAUAAAAGUUACUCUAGGGAUAAC
rnacentral:rRNA from 1 species